rnacentral:rRNA from 1 species
GAUGAACGCUGGCGGCGUGCCUAAUACAUGCAAGUCGAGCGAACAGACGAGGAGCUUGCUCCUCUGAUGUUAGCGGCGGACGGGUGUGUAACACGUGGAUAACCUACCUAUAAGACUGGGAUAACUUCGGGAAACCGGAGCUAAUACCGGAUAACAUGUUGAACCGCAUGGUUCAACAGUGAAAGACGGUCUUGCUGUCACUUAUAGAUGGAUCCGCGCCGCAUUAGCUAGUUGGUAAGGUAACGGCUUACCAAGGCAACGAUGCGUAGCCGACCUGAGAGGGUGAUCGGCCACACUGGAACUGAGACACGGUCCAGACUCCUACGGGAGGCAGCAGUAGGGAAUCUUCCGCAAUGGGCGAAAGCCUGACGGAGCAACGCCGCGUGAGUGAAGAAGGUCUUCGGAUCGUAAAACUCUGUUAUUAGGGAAGAACAAAUGUGUAAGUAACUAUGCACGUCUUGACGGUACCUAAUCAGAAAGCCACGGCUAACUACGUG